rnacentral:lncRNA from 1 species
ACCGGACGCGCCCGCUUCUCGCUGGAGUGCGCACCGAGCGGCAGUGACUUCGCCGCUGCUGUAGUUCCCCGGCUGGAUGCGGUGACUGGUGCCAGUGCUCAGGCGCCCGCUGCCCUUGACCUCCCGCCCCGCGAGCCCUAACUCAGCGCAGGAGGACCGGCUGCCGCCGCCGCCGCCGCCAGGAGGUAGAUUGGGAAGUGGAGCUGGCCGUGGUCAUUGGAAAGAAAGGCAAGCACAUCAAGGUGUUGGUGUCACCCAUGAUCUAUCCUCCUGUAUGGCCAAAUCCCCUGCCCCCAUAGGCCACAGAUGCCAUGGCCCACGUGGCCGGCUUCACUGUGGCUCAUGACGUGAGUGCUCGUGACUGGCUAACAAGAUGCAAUGGGAAACAGUGGCUGCUGGGAAAAACCUUCGACACCUUCUGCCCUCUGGGCCCUGCCUUGGUGACCAAGGACAGUGUAGCAGAUCCACACAACUUAAAGAUCUGCUGUCGAGUGAAUGGGGAAGUGGUCCAGAGCAGCAACACCAACCAGAUGGUAUUCAAGACAGAGGACCUGAUAGCCUGGGUGUCCCAGUUUGUUACCUUUUACCCAGGGGAUGUCAUCCUGACUGGGACCCCCCCACCUCCACCCAGGUGUCGGUGUAUUCAGGAAACCUCCUGUCUUUCUCAAGGUCUCUGAAGGUCCAGACAGCACUGAUGGCGAGCUUUGGGUCCGCACACUCUGGAAAGAAGAGAGAAGUGAAGGCUCUAGGUAGGGAGAACAGAGAGCCACUGGGCACAGGCUUCUCUCCUCUUGUUUAAAGAAGCCCAGGGAGGGAUAGAGCUCUGACUGGACAGAAGACUGUACUCUGCAGCCUGCCUUCCUAGAGUUGGGUUGUCACUGUCCUGCAGGGGGCAGCAGCCACCAGCAAACACCACUGCCUGCAGGAGCCUGGGCUGACUGGUUGGGACUCACCGAAGAUCCCUUCUUCCUGGGCGGUGGCCUGCAGGAACUGGAACAGCUGCUCUGUGUAGCCCAACUCUGCAGAAGAGAGAAGACCUAGACCUGGCACCCAGCACAGACACAGCCUGCCUCGAGGACUGCAAGGGAACAAGGGCCUCACCAGUAUCGGGCAGCUGGCCCUGGCGGAGGAAGGCGGCAGCCUGUGCAAAGGCCUUGAGCAGCGGGCUGAGCAGGCGGCAGAGGAAAAGAAAGAAAUCUGGGCAGUGUGACUGCUGGCUGAGCUGGAGGGGACAGGCCGGGGUGAGUGCAGCUCCCCACCGCCUCCCUACCACCUCCCUCCAGGGGCAGCUUUUUGAAACACACCCUGAAGUACCGGCCGUCAGCCUCUCCGAAGUCAUCACUGUCACUAUCAGUAAAGUCCCCACUCGGUUUCCACAGCA